GACGAACGCUGGCGGCGUGCCUAAUACAUGCAAGUCGAACGCACUCUCGUUUAGAUUGAAGGAGCUUGCUCCUGAUUGAUAAACAUUUGAGUGAGUGGCGGACGGGUGAGUAACACGUGGGUAACCUGCCCUAAAGUGGGGGAUAACAUUUGGAAACAGAUGCUAAUACCGCAUAAAACCUAACACCGCAUGGUGUAGGGUUGAAAGAUGGUUUCGGCUAUCACUUUAGGAUGGACCCGCGGUGCAUUAGUUAGUUGGUGAGGUAAAGGCUCACCAAGACCGUGAUGCAUAGCCGACCUGAGAGGGUAAUCGGCCACACUGGGACUGAGACACGGCCCAGACUCCUACGGGAGGCAGCAGUAGGGAAUCUUCCACAAUGGACGAAAGUCUGAUGGAGCAACGCCGCGUGAGUGAAGAAGGUUUUCGGAUCGUAAAACUCUGUUGUUGGAGAAG
rnacentral:rRNA from 1 species